UUUAGAUACUCAAAGAGAGAAGAUGCUACCGAGGAUCUGAAUGCAGCAAUCGAGGCUGGUGACACAGGGAAUUGAAAAGUAUAGCAAAAGGACAGUGAAGGUUGUUUUUGAUGUUUCUAGUUUGCAGUAGAUUAUAUGCCUUGAAGAUGACUAUGUGUCCUGGAUUUGGUGUCGAGUUGGUUGAGGUGACUAUUUUUUAUGUUGCAAAGAUGCUUAAAAGAUUGGAAGGUUUGAAGAUCAAGAUUUAGAAAUGGCAAUGAGGGUCGAAACAAUGAUCAGCAAAGAAAGGACUGACCAGAAAUGUUGAUCAAGAACCAUUGGAACAUCUACAAACUACAAGUCUAAAUCUGGAGGUGCAAAGAAGAAAUGAUUGGAAAGCAAUAUCAGCACUCAAAACAUUGGAACCUGUCGACUGAGCAGGGUUAGAAGAGAAUGUAAUUUUUUGUUUCCUUGAGGGGUGGCCUAUCAAUGAAGUUGCAUGGGUCAUAGAAAGAUAAACUUCGCCAUGUUGCUCGAGCCUUAUACGAGGCUAUCACCAUCCUCUAGGUGAGCUAGCAGUGGCUUGAGGAUCUGGAUCUCAACCUUAUGUCUCAGGACAUGGAUCUUUGCAUCAACGUCUUCAGCCAUCGAGAAGCAUAGGAAGAAGGUUGCAAUGUACCUUGCUUUGUAAACGUCUCAGAGGAGCAGGUCAUUUGAGAAUAGGGGAGAAUUUGCCUUGGAAGUUCAAGCCUCGGGGCCUCGGCUUAGACAUUCGGGAUGCUUGAAGAGGAAAGGAGGGCCUUGGCACAUAACCUAUUUAACAAGUGUCGGUCGGGCCCUUUGCUCAGUCAUUAGUAUUGAGUCAGUGUCGAAGGGUAGAUGAAGCGCCACCCUUGAUCCGAGCGAGUGAAUGGGCUCCUUUGCCUUUUACGAGGGGGAAGUCUUCUUGAACUAUUGAAUCCUCUCACUUUGGGGGGGAGUCGGUGAGGCAACCAACAAUAGCAACAAUAAUCACUAUCUGGUAGACCAAGGCCCUCGUCCUUGGCUCGCUUGGGCGAUCCAUCGCUCGUUAGUGGAUGUUAACCACGAAGUUGGAGGUUUAGGCUCUCCUUCUAGUGCUGCUAGUUGAUAAGUCAUCAUGUGUCAUCAUUGGUGUAAGUACGAGGGCUUGCGAGAAAUUGCUUGCUUUGGGUGAGUUGCAUAGUUUUGCUCUUUCGGGAUGAGCUCCAAUAUGGGUCUUUAGAGGAUGACUUUGGCAUUUAUAAGGUCUUUCUUUUCUUACUCCUUAAUUAAUGUGAACUAAAUAUGCUUAUCAUUAAUCUCAACGGGAGAGUUGAGGUUGUUAAUGUAUAUUAUGGUUGUUUGAUUAGGAUAUCGAUUUGGAGCUAAUUGAGUUCCAAUUCUAUACUUGUUAGAUUGGCAUUUGAAAGUGUCAAACCCAAUUGAUUCAUAAUGCACUAAACCUUGUGAAGCUAAUUGUGCCCGACAAAGCCUCUUUUGAUGUUUCAGGUAGUCUUGAUUAUGAGGGGUCCACAAAGUGUCAAGUCUUUCUGAGAUGAAUGUAUUAGAAUUUAAGUCCUUCAGAGCCGAAUGCAUUAGAAUGAGUCUUUUCAGAGGGUUGAGGACUACACCUGACGAACCUUUUAUAGUGAGGUUUCAAAACCAUGUUUUUCCUAGUCCAAUCUUAAGUGGGAUCGCAUUGCAUCGA